CCGCGGGGCUGGCGGCGCGGCUGACUCGGCUCCACGAGAGCCGACACCAGCGGGAGCGCCUUAGUUUUAGUUUCUUUUUUUAGAUUAAGGUACGAGAAUAGCUAUAGAAAUGGGAUUACGCUAUGGCAUGACAAAGUUGUAGCAACUAUUUACUGACAUGAAGAAAAACAAGUUGGGCGGCGUCCGACGGCAAUUGAAUAAUUCCAAUAAUAAUUAAUGUCUGGUACAUUAUUAACAGAAUCGUGUAAUUCGUUCACCAGCACUGUCGACCAGUGCAGAUAAGUUUGCUUCUCCGUUCAAUUAAUCAAUUCCAAAGUCCUGGGAAAAAUGAUAGUCUAAGCGAUAAUAAUUUAAGCUAUUACUUCCUAACCUAGGUUAAGGUUAACACUGCAAUAUAAGUUUUUGUUUUUGUUAACAUUCACAACAGUCAGCAAAGUCCAAGUUAAAUGAGUGCAAAUGAUAUAAUGUACUAACUUUUAAAAAAUAUUAUUCUAAUUUUUGUUAUGUGGAGCAUUUUAAACUUGUGUUAGUUUUAAGAACAGUUUCCUUUUUUCAGUUUUUAUUUAAUUAAAGUUUGUUUUCUUUCUACAA